AAUAUUUUAAGUUAUAAAACUAAAAGCUUUCAAAGCUUUAAAUGAUAA
rnacentral:tRNA from 1 species